CCCUUCCCCGGCCCUGGGCCGCGCUCCCUGCGACAGGGUCUGGCCUGGGCGGGUGGGUAAGGCUGCAGCCGCCACCGCUGGGAGCCAUAGGACAAUGGGGGCUUUUGUCCCUGUAUCUGGCGAGGACCAAUUACACGUUUAAUUUGAGGCUAAUUCGAUUACCGCCAUGGAAAAAGACAGGCUAAUUUUCUCGCAGCCUCUUCUCGCCCGCGAUGUUCACCUUUAGAACGUAAUGGAGAAAGAGUUGCACCGUUUGCGCGGUUUCAGCUCAGUGAUGGUGAUGAUGUCCAGCUUGGAGAGGGGUGACAGUGACCUCUCCGAGCGAAGCUUUGGGCGUUGGGGCCAGUCACGCGUAUUCCUUCAAGCGGUUAAUGUAUUCCUCCAUGGUGAAUGCUUUUUCACCUUUCCCCCAAGGGUAGCUGGCAGUAGUCUACAAGUGGUUUAUCUAACCCAUGACUCAUGGUCAAUCACAGGCUCAACUUUAACCUGAGGUCAGGUGCUCUGUCCUGGGUCUUUGGAAGUGAGGUCUGCCGGCUGCUUUGGAGGACCCCUGAGAUGGCGUGAAGAUUGGAGUUCUCCCACCUCCAUUUUCUGACACUGGACGUUUUCUUGAAUUUAUGUUCACUGCCCCUCACAAACAAGCCCACUGGCCACCCUGUCAUCUCCCAGGCUGUGCAGAAAUCCUGUAACUGCUCUCAAGGGAGGAAAAGGAUGGUGUGGUGGUGCACACUUGUGAUCCCAGUACUCAGAAGACUGAGGCAGGAGGAUUGCCAAGAGCCUGGACUACAAAAUGAGCUCAAGUCCAGAAUGAGCUACACAAUGAUGUACCAAUCCUGUAAACACACAAACAAAUGUUAAAACAAAAAUGACCUUGUUCCUUCUAGUCACCUGGGUGUAUACUGCUACCUGAAGAGUCUAUAAUAGACUUACAUCAUGGAAGAGAUGGAAGUGCCUACAGAGAUGUCCGUGUAGCUGCUUUGAGAAAGAAGAUGCAAUUACCACCACGGUUUGAUAACUUUAAGGGUGAAGUAGUGGCACACAUGUCCUGGUGGUAACCAACAGCUCUCUAAUUGGAUUUAAGACCUGCUCAACAAGAGAGAGACCAUUCCUGAGAGGUCUUUGGCACAACUCCAAACUCUGAGAACACUCAUUGAGGGAUUCCUGCACAGUCUGGGGGAUGUUUGACAGAGAUUCUUCAUGUAACAGGAUUGGCUGCCCUCAUCCAGCAGCUGGUGGAAGUAGAAGCAACACCCACAACUAAUCACUGAACUGACC